rnacentral:rRNA from 1 species
CGGGACGGGUGAGUAAUGUAUGGGGAUCUGCCCGAUGGAGGGGGAUAACUACUGGAAACGGUAGCUAAUACCGCAUAACGUCGCAAGACCAAAGAGGGGGACCUUCGGGCCUCUUGCCAUCGGAUGUGCCCAGAUGGGAUUAGCUAGUAGGUGGGGUAACGGCUCACCUAGGCGACGAUCCCUAGCUGGUCUGAGAGGAUGACCAGCCACACUGGAACUGAGACACGGUCCAG